GACGAACGCUGGCGGCGUGCCUAGUACAUGCAAGUCGAACGCUGAAGGAGGAGCUUGCUCUUCUGGACGAGUUGCGAACGGGUGAGUAACGCGUAGGUAACCUGCCUGGUAGCGGGGGAUAACUAUUGGAAACGAUAGCUAAUACCGCAUAACAGUAGAUGUUGCAUGACAUUUGCUUAAAAGGUGCAAUUGUACCACUACCAGAUGGACCUGCGUUGCAUUAGCUAGUUGGUGGGGUAUCGGCUCACUAAGGCGACGAUACAUAGUCGAACUGAGAGGGUGGGCAGCCGCACUGAGACGGUGACAGGGCCCAGAGUGCUACGGGAGGCAGCAGGAGGGAAACGUCAGCAAUGGGCGGAAAACUGACCGAGCAGCGCCGCGGGAGGGAAGAAGGUUGUCGGGUCGUAAAGCUCGGUUUUAAGGGAAGAACGAGUGUGAGAGUGGAAAGUUCACUCUGUGACGGUAACUUGCCAAAAAGGAACGGCUAACUACGUG
rnacentral:rRNA from 1 species